ensembl:miRNA
GCCACUGCUGGAACCGCCGGCUCUGACAAUAUUGCACUACUGUUUAUCUCAAAUUUAGCAGUGCAAUAAUAUUGUCAAAGCAUUUGGUUCCAGUUCUGA